GAUGAACGCUGACAGAAUGCUUAACACAUGCAAGUCAACUUGAAUUUGGGUUUUUAACUUAGGUUUGGGUGGCGGACGGGUGAGUAACGCGUAAAGAACUUGCCCCACAGCUAGGGACAACAUUUGGAAACGAAUGCUAAUACCUAAUAUUAUGAUAAUAGGGCAUCCUAUAAUUAUGAAAGCUAUAAGCGCUGUGAGAGAGCUUUGCGUCCCAUUAGCUAGUUGGAGAGGUAACGGCUCACCAAGGCGAUGAUGGGUAGCCGGCCUGAGAGGGUGAUCGGCCACAAGGGGACUGAGACACGGCCCUUACUCCUACGGGAGGCAGCAGUGGGGAAUAUUGGACAAUGGACCAAGAGUCUGAUCCAGCAAUUCUGUGUGCACGAUGAAGUUUUUCGGAAUGUAAAGUGCUUUCAGUUGGGAAGAAAGAAAUGACGGUACCAACAGAAGAAGUGACGGCUAAAUACGUG
rnacentral:rRNA from 1 species